rnacentral:rRNA from 1 species
AUACGGAGGAUCCGAGCGUUAUCCGGAUUUAUUGGGUUUAAAGGGUGCGCAGGCGGCCAUUUAAGUCAGCGGUUAAAUCGUGGGGCUCAACCCCAUUCUGCCGUUGAUACUGGGUGGCUUGAUUGCGGUCGAGGUUGGCGGAAUUCGUUGCGUAGCGGUGAAAUGCAUAGAUAUGACGAAGAACACCGAUUGCGUAGGCAGCUGACCAGACCGCAAAUGACGCUCAUGCACGAAAGUGCGGGGAUCGAACAGGAUUAGAUACCCUGGUAGUCCGCACAGUAAACGAUGAAUACUUGUUUUCGGCGAUAUAAUGUCGGAGGCAAAGCGAAAGCGGUAAGUAUUCCACCUGGGGAGUACGCCGGCAACGGUGAAACUCAAAUGAAUUGACGGGG